AAUGGGAUUCUCUUCUCACAUUGAACAGAGGCGGACAUUUUUGUGCUGUGGAGCUGAACCCAAACUCGAGAGCUGCAGAGUCAUAGACCUUCCCACCGUCAAAUCUUUUGCAAAGACAGCGAUAGAUGGAGAGAGAAGAGGAAGAAGAAGACAUAGUUUGUUUAGAUCCCUCGUUCUUUAUGAACAACGACUAUCAGCUCACUACCUUUACAUUUGGGUCCCAUGAGAUUGAACUCUUCUGCCUUCAGUCUGCUUCAACUGAUUUUGAUUUAACGGGGCAAUUAGUGUGGCCUGGUGCCUUGCUGAUGAAUAAUUAUCUGUCCCAACAUGCUCACCUGCUUCAAGGAUGUUCUAUCAUUGAAUUAGGAUCUGGUGUCGGUAUAACUGGAAUACUUUGCAGCAAGUUUUGCCACAAAGUGGUGUUGACAGACCAUAAUGAGGAAGUUCUAAAGAUCCUGAAGAAAAACAUAGAGCUUCAUGCAUCUCCCGAAUCACUUGGAAAUUCUGCUGAACUAGCAGCUGAGAAGCUUGAAUGGGGAAAUUCUGAUCAGAUAACCCAAGUUAUGGACAAACAUUCUGGUGGAUUUGAUCUAAUCCUCGGUGCUGAUAUCUGCUUUCAACAAUCAAGUGUACCUUUGCUUUUCAAAACGGCUGAGCGGCUCCUCCAAGUAAGAGGAAGAGGAAAAUGCAAAUUCAUUCUAGCAUAUGUAUCCCGAGCUAGGAGCAUGGAUACACUGAUACUUGAUGAAGCUUCUCGGCAUGGGAUGCGAAUGAUUGAAGUAGAUGGAACACGAUCUGUGGUUGGGAAUCUUCAAGGAGUCAUCUAUGAGAUUACCCUUAAUUAGAUGCUUUGGACAUAACUGCAAGAUUUUUUACUACCAAAAGAACCAUUUUUUUUGUUGGGAAAGGAUGACAUAUGGCCUUAAAUUUAUUAGACUUGAUGUGUUUAUCUUUUUUACUUCAAGGCUGGAUGGCGCAAAUUUUAUUGGAAGAUGUCAGGCCAAUGAAGGAGUUGGAGAAGGUUUCCCAUUUCUCAUUCUUAAAUUCAAGAAGAUGAAAUGUUUUUGGUAAGUGGUGACUUUUUCUUUAUUAAAUGAAACGUGCUUGGUAAGUGGUAACUUGAUUUAUUUU